UGGGGGAUAAAGACUAUCUCUCAAAUGAUGAUGAUGAUGAUGAUUGAUAUGGUUAGGCUUUGUGUCUCCACCCAAAUCUCAUCUUGAGUUAUAAUCCUUGAAUUAUAAUUGUAAUCCCCAAGUGUCAAGGGAGACACCAGGUGAAGGUAAUUGGAUCACAGGGGCGGUUUCUCCCAUGCUCUUCUUGUGAUAGUGAGUGAGUUCUCGGGAGAUCUGAUGGUUUUAUAAGGGACUUUCCCCCACUUUUCUCAGCACUUCUUCUUCCUGCCACCUUGUGAAGAAGGCGCCUUGCUUCCCCUUCACCUUCUGCCAUGAUUGUAAGUUUCCUGAGUCCUCCCCAGCCAUGCUAAACUGUGAGUCAAUUAAACCUCUUUCCUUUAUGAAUUACCCAGUCUCAGGUAUUUCCUGAUAGCAAUGUAAGAAGAGACUAAUACAAUGAUGAACUCAUGGUUUUUAUGUCCUCAGUGUGUUUCAGUCAACUGCAUUCACAAUCCUUUUCAUGUUUACAGUGUUUCUUCUUUGACCCAUGGGGGUCCUUUCAUGUUGGUGUCUGUGUCGGUUUCACACGACCCGUCAGUCUCCAGUGGCUUCCUUGCUUCACGGCCCAACAAGAUGUCUCAGCUCCUCUUGUAUUUUUUUUCCUAGACUUGAAAGCAGUCAUUCCUUCCAAGAGCCCUGAUUGCUUCUACUAGGCCUGUUGAUUAUAUUUUAAAAUAUGAAGUACGUGUCUCUUUAUGUGCAUCAGCAUUGACCUGAAAGGUGACACCUAUGUCUACAACUCCACUCCAAAGCCUCCUACAUGGUGGCUGUCUCCACUUCAUCCCAAAGAUCUGGAAUGAAUGAGGUUCUGUGGUCCCCUUAUAAAGCCUCUUGCAUUCCAAAUGUGUAAAUGAUUUUAUUCUUAGUAUUUCCCUAACACAGCUGUGAGUCUGAGAACUGACAGAUGCAGUGAGAUGUAAACCAAGGCACGAGCUAGUCAAAGAGAGAUGUGGGAGUGCAAGCUCACAGGGCACAGAGGCCAAGGAGCAGUGAGACUCAUGGGCAAGGAUCAAAAUGUGGAUGUCAGCCCUGAAAGACUGUCCCCUUUUCUCUGGGAAUGUCACCCUCUUAGAGGAGAACACAGCUUCUAGAAGGAUUCUCAGCAGAGAGAGAGGAGGGGAUCCCCUGGCUAAGAUCAGCUGAGAACACCCACACCAUCAAUGUGGGGACAGACACCACAGACAGGUCCCCUGAUGUCUGUGACUUCAAUCUCCUGCCCUUUGGAAAGACAGAUGAACUGGUUCAAUGAAUGAACCAGGAAAUGUUCACGCCAAGUUCCCCUGAAUGUGAGCAAGAAGAAAUCCGUACAAACUAUAAAUGUCAAUAAACCAAUUGCCAAUGGAGUUUUUGAAUCAAUGAAUACUAGGAAUCCAGGGAAGCAGAGCUCUUCUGAGAUGCGACAUGGACUUUCUAGAUGGGUUCAGCUAACUUACUGCUGCAGGAUUUCACAGACAAUUCAAAGGAACCCAGAGUUCUGAUGUUCCCAGGAGAAGAAACGUGGGGAAAUAAAACCCCUGGUUGACGUGCAGAAGAGACAAACAGUGAGAAUCUCGAAGAUGCACAUUCAGCCGGCAAAAAGCCUCCACUCCUGAACUGAUAAGAAGAAGGUAUGAAAAUCUUGAGAAAAACAGCUGUCAGGAGACUUCACAGUUAGACUUUUUGCCCUACCUUUGUCCUCCUGCAAGAGGUGAGAACACACAGCAUUCAAGGUGCCAUCUUGGAAGUGGAGAGCAGCCCUCACCAGACACCAAACCUAUUGGCCGUUGACCUUGGACUUCCCAGCCUCCAGAACUGUGAUAAAUACAUUUUUAUUAUUUACAAAUUACCUAGUUCAGGCAUUUUGUUAAAGAAGCACAAAUGGACUAAAAUAUAAGGAGCAAAAAAUUGACUUUGAAAAAGUCUACUGUAUCUUGUUUAGAGAAUAAAGUAAGUUCACUCAGUAUGUAGAGUAUUUAGCAUCUAUAAUAUACACAUAUAUACACAUAUGUAUAUAAAAAUUAUAGAAUAAUAUACACAAAACUUACUGUUCUUUGGUAUAUGGGAU
rnacentral:lncRNA from 1 species